GCUUUAUGCGCCAAUGGAUGAGCCCGCACUUGAUUAGUUAGUUGGCAGGGUAAUGGCCUACCAAGACUUUGAUCAAUAGCUGAUUUGAGAGGAUGAUCAGCCACAUUGGGACUGAGACACGGCCCAAACUUCUACGGGAGGCAGCAGUAGGGAAUCUUGCACAAUGGAGGAAACUCUGAUGCAGCGAUGCCGCGUGAGUGAAGAAGGCCUUUGGGUUGUAAAGCUCUUUCGUCGGGGAAGAAAAUGACUGUACCCGAAUAAGAAGGUCCGGCUAACUUCGUGCCAGCAGCCGCGGUAAUACGAAGGGACCUAGCGUAGUUCGGAAUUACUGGGCUUAAAGAGUUCGUAGGUGGUUAAAAAAGUUGGUGGUGAAAUCCCAGAGCUUAACUCUGGAACUGCCAUCAAAACUUUUUAGCUAGAGUAUGAUAGAGGAAAGCAGAAUUUCUAGUGUAGAGGUGAAAUUCGUAGAUAUUAGAAAGAAUACCAAUUGCGAAGGCAGCUUUCUGGAUCAUUACUGACACUGAGGAACGAAAGCAUGGGUAGCGAAGAGGAUUAGAUACCCUCGUAGUCCAUGCUGUAAACGAUGUGUGUUAGACGUUGGAAAUUUAUUUUCAGUGUCGCAGCGAAAGCGAUAAACACACCGCCUGGGGAGUACGACCGCAAGGUUAAAACUCAAAUGAAUUGACGGGGACCCGCACAAGUAGUGGAGCAUGUGGUUUAAUUCGAAGAUACGCGCAGAACCUUACCAACACUUGACAUGUUCGUCGCGACUCUAAGAGAUUAGAGUUUUCGGUUCGGCCGGACGAAACACAGGUGCUGCAUGGCUGUCGUCAGCUCGUGUCGUGAGAUGUUGGGUUAAGUCCCGCAACGAGCGCAACCCUCACUUUUAGUUGCCA
rnacentral:rRNA from 1 species